ACAAUUUGAUCGAUCGAAUAAAAAACGGCGUCAGCGAUGCCUAUGAAAUGAAGAUUGCUGUCAUUUUAUAUGUAAAAUGAUAUGGAGAAUGUCAUCGAGAUGUUCAUUUCCAAGCCCACUGGACGCCGUGUUUUUUCGAUCAUACAGUAUUAUUAUACACAUAAAUAAUAAUAUUAUACACAUAAACAUCCCUUGAUAAAGAUCAACAUUUUGUAGAGCAAUAACAGCAUCAAAUAAUGGAAAUAAUGGACCCUACUGCUCAAAUCAAAAACAAAAUUUCAUCAUUACCACUUUAUUGGUUAUAUCAAUAAAAGAAAUUAUUGAGUUUAUGAGUCUAGAUCCUACAAGCAAGCAGAUCUAUCACAUAAUUUAAAAUGAAGAUUUAUCUAUUAUAGUAAUUUAUUCUAAUAAU